rnacentral:rRNA from 1 species
AGUGAACGCUGGCGGUAGGCCUAACACAUGCAAGUCGAACGGCAGCACAGUAAGAGCUUGCUCUUACGGGUGGCGAGUGGCGGACGGGUGAGGAAUACAUCGGAAUCUACUUUUUCGUGGGGGAUAACGUAGGGAAACUUACGCUAAUACCGCAUACGACCUACGGGUGAAAGCAGGGGAUCUUCGGACCUUGCGCGAUUGAAUGAGCCGAUGUCGGAUUAGCUAGUUGGCGGGGUAAAGGCCCACCAAGGCGACGAUCCGUAGCUGGUCUGAGAGGAUGACAGGCCACAUGGGAAGGGAAACGGGUCCAGGCGCCCUCGGGGAGGAGCAAGGGGGAAAAGUGGGACAGGGGGGGAAACCCUUACCCAGCCAGCCGGGGGGGGAAAAAAAGGCUUUGGGUUUGAAAACCCUUUUUUUGGGAAAAAAAAAGCGGCAGUUUAACACCCCGCUUUUCUGACGGAACCAAAAAAAAAAGCACCGGCUAACUUCGUG